rnacentral:piRNA from 1 species
UGUGGAUAGAUCUCUCCAAAUGGGCAA